GGCUGGAUAGCUCAGUUGGUUAGAGCGUGGUACUUACAAAGCCAAGGUCAUGAGUUCAAUCCCCACACUGGCCA